rnacentral:tRNA from 1 species
ACUUGAAAAUCCGUUGGCUUUAUUGACCGUGAGGGUUCAAGUCCCUCUACCCCC